UUUAAUGCUUGUGUUGGAUGUACUCUGUAAGCUUGUUUGAUUGGUCUGAAGUGUUUGGUCUUUGUACUGUGCUUGGAUGUACUGUUUGUCAUGUCUGUCCUGCAAUCGCAACUUUUCAGCAAAAAUCAGACCACCUUGGGAGGCACAUUGUAUGUCCGUUUUACCCUCUUGGCUGAAAAACUUGGAAUGAUUGACUUUGCCUUUAAUAGCUACGCCGUCUACCUCUGUCUGCUUCAUUCUUUCCACUGCCUUGAACGGCCCAAGCCAGCCUGAAGAUAUUUGCUGUAACACACACCUGUCACUCUGUGCGUGCGCGUGUGUGUGUGUACUGAGCCGUGGGAACUGACUGCAGACUGUGGAGGAGCAGUUAUGAGCUGGGAAAAACACUGAGGACAUGUUAACUGUGUUAAAGAAGGGCAUAUGUGCACACACAUAAACACAAGCUUACACAGAAUACAAAUGACUCUCCUGGUCGCAGUGACCCAGGCCGCGUCUCUGUGCGCCAAGUCCAGCAGAGGAUAGUGUGAGGAAUAAGCAGCGUCGGGCUAAUUAACAGUGCUGAUGCUGGCCGGUGAAUGAGGCUCGUUCAGCUGCUUAAGAUCAGAUGGAGCGCAGCUUGCUGGGCCACUGAGCACACUGACCCCACAUACUUCAAAAUGCCCUCUAUUUCCCAUCCUGCCCCCAAGAGUGGCCUCCAUGCCUGUGGCUUAUGUCUGUUUGUCUCAAUGAAUGUGUUCAUACAUAUAUGUGUGCCCGCAUAUGACUUAAUGCCUUUAUAGAACAGAUCAAAAAGUCAAAUGUUUCCUGUCUUAAGCUCUAUACACUCCCACACAGUCAGACGUAGUCGUACAUGCA